GGUUGACCACCAUAAGGAGGAAACUGGGUCUCUUGAGAUUUAGGCAACAACACGUUUUUAUUAACAUUCAACAACGGCGUAUCAAUCACAACUUCUGUGGGCAUCAACGUAUCCCACUCAGGCACCUCUCUAUAUGUCCAUUCUGAUUAACUUGGUAACUUUGCUUCAAUACGGGGGGGAGCUGGCCGAACUGCUCCUUGUCGGUAGGCUUCCGUAACGGGGCGCUCCUUACCGCGCAGAUUAUCCCACAACAGGGGUGGUGAGCCCAGUGCCCCCUCUCUUGUAUCACUACUACUUCCGGAUCAGGAACGGGAUCAGGCAGUAGUCCUCCCACCUUCAGGCUUGGGAAAUCAUCAAUCAAGCUCCUUACUCCACCUGCCUUAGCUUCCUCUUUCUCCUUCUCUCUCUUGCCCGUUACCGCCCUAAAUUCCUGCGAAUAUUCCCCCUCUUUUAUAUUCUCCUCCCACACAUCCACCCAUUGCUUCAGUCUUAACCCCUUUCCCCUCUUUAUAUUCUUUUUCUCUUCCCUCAGCCCCUUUGACAUUUAUGUUAGCUGGAGGAGACGCCGCGCUAGCUGUUGGACCUUCCUUACAACCCCAUUCAUUUCUUCGGUGUUCCAGGGCUGGGACUCCCAGUUAAAUUUAGCUCUAAAUUUCAGAGGAAAUCCCAAUGGAUAUUCCUUAGGGAACCUGCCAGUGAAAACUGCAAGGUCGUUGCAGUUAAGAAAAUGAAGUUGAGAUUUUUUUUAAAAAGGAAUAAUUGAAUUGAACAAUGGUGGAAGAAGUGACACUAUUUGCAAAUGGAGAGAUGGAAUGGGUCCUUAGAAUCAAGAGUUGGAAGUAACUAGCUAUAAGCAAGAUCUGUAACUAAAUACUGUUCUGGGUAAACACAGUAUAUAAUGUUACUUUUCAAAAGUAUUGUAGAAUGGAAGUUGUACAUUGUUGUAAUGGGUGCCCCAUUACAAAAGUUAUAUCAAAAGUUAUAUCUGACAGCACUUUGAGAUACUUUGAAAUAGUUGUUUUGUAAAAAGAACCUAUUUCUUACCUUAUCAAUAAGGAUUCUUUUCCUCCCCAAACUUACAGAAAAUUAGAAAAAACAAUGAGCAGUGCACCAGAUAAUGUAACAAAACCUCUUUCAACUGUUGUAAUGUAGAACAAUUUUUCGACCGCUGAUAGAACAAUUUUUCGACCGCUUACUUAUG
rnacentral:lncRNA from 1 species